AGAGAGACAGGAAACACAGGGAUAAAUACACUGGCACAGAGAGACAGGAAACACAGGGAUAAAUACACUGGGGCAGAGAGACAGGAAACACAGGGAUAAAUACACUGGCACAGAGAGACAGGAAACACAGGGAUAAAUACACUGGCACAGAGAGACAGGAAACACAGGGAUAAAUACACUGGCACAGAGAGACAGGAAACACAGGGAUAAAUACACUGGCACAGAGAGACUGGAAACACAGGGAUAAAUAGACUGGGGCAGAGAGACAGGAAACACAGGGAUAAAUACACUGGCACAGAGAGACAGGAAACACAGGGAUAAAUACACUGGGGCAGAGAGACAGGAAACACAGGGAUAAAUACACUGGCACAGAGAGACAGGAAACACAGGGAUAAAUACACUGGGGCAGAGAGACAGGAAACACAGGGAUAAAUACACUGGCACUGAGAGACAGGAAACACAGGGAUAAAUACACUGGCACAGAGAGACAGGAAACACAGGGAUAAAUACACUGGCACAGAGAGACAGGAAACACAGGGAUAAAUACACUGGGGCAGAGAGACAGGAAACACAGGGAUAAAUACACUGGCACUG
rnacentral:lncRNA from 1 species